rnacentral:lncRNA from 1 species
CAGGCCAGCUGAACACUGAGCAGCCCCCUCAGACUUACAGAAGGUAAGGAACAAAUCUCAAGGCAAGGAAGGAGCAGCUCCGGGAAGGAAAGAGACAGGUAA